rnacentral:rRNA from 1 species
GACGUAGGGCGCGAGCGUUGUCCGGAUUUAUUGGGCGUAAAGAGCUCGUAGGCGGCUUGUCGCGUCGUCUGUGAAAACCCGGGGCUCAACUCCGGGCUUGCGGGCGAUACGGGCAGGCUAGAGUUCGGUAGGGGAGACUGGAAUUCCUGGUGUAGCGGUGAAAUGCGCAGAUAUCAGGAGGAACACCGGUGGCGAAGGCGGGUCUCUGGGCCGAUACUGACGCUGAGGAGCGAAAGCGUGGGGAGCGAACAGG